UGGUGACAUUGUAAAGGUUUAUAAAAAUAACGAUCCACAACAUGUAACAACUGGUGAGAUUGUAAAGGUUUAUAAAAUAAUUAUUCACAACAGGUAACAUCUGGUGACAUUGUAAAGGUUUAUAAAAAUAUCCUUUCAGCAAGAUCACCCUGCAAUAAAUUAUAACACAGCAUUAUGAGAGGCAUCAGGAGCUGAUCCCAAGUGUAUAGCUGGAAGCUGUUGAUGUAUGUACAGUAUUGGUAAAGUGCACA